AAUGCAAGCCGUUCUAUCGCUGCAAUUUAAUUAUUGGAGAGGAAAGUCCGGGCAACGCAGAGCAUCUCGCUUCCUAACGGGAAGAGGACUGGGAUUGAACACCCAGGCUAUGGAAAGUGCCGCAGAAAGCAUACCGCCGAUGGCCUGAAAAGGCACAGGUAAGGUUGAAAACGUGAGGUAAGAGCUCACGAGUUUUGCCAGUGAUGGUAAGGCUGGUAAACCCCGGGAGUUGAAAGACCAAAUAGGCUAACGCAUGUAGGGCUGCUCGUCCGAUGUUAGUGGGUAGGUCGUUAGAGAUAAAUGGCGACAUUUAUAGUGGAUUAAUGAUAGAAUCCUUAUUUAUUGAGGAACAGAACCCGGCUUACAGGCUUGCAUUUUUU
rnacentral:RNase_P_RNA from 1 species